rnacentral:rRNA from 1 species
UACGAAGGGGGCUAGCGUUGUUCGGAAUUACUGGGCGUAAAGGGCGCGUAGGCGGCGUGUCAAGUCAGGCGUGAAAGCCCCGGGCUCAACCUGGGAACCGCGCUUGAGACUGGCAUGCUCGAGUUCGGGAGAGGAUGGUGGAAUUCCCAGUGUAGAGGUGAAAUUCGUAGAUAUUGGGGAAGAACACCGAUGGCGAAGGCAGCCAUCUGGACCG